AUUCUCGUUCUUAUUCUCUGUGGAGUGAUCGGAGUUGCUAACACCCUCACAUGGACGCGCCCCCUGCUCGUGAUCUCCCCAGGACCGAGCGCCCCUCCCCAACUCUCCUACACCCUCAAGUCGAGUGGGCUCUCUCCAUGGGUGAAGCUUAGGCGCCGAUGCUCUCCUUCUCUGGUUCGACAUGUCAGCUUGGUGCCCUCUCUCCCAUGCCCGAUCCUGAGGUCCCUGCCUCGACCUCCACAUCGGCCUCCAUGGCGCUCUUCUCCCUGGGCACCCAGACGUGUGCGCCCCCUUCCCUGCUCUUGCCGCGGCGAGCUCCUUCCCUCCAAGCACCAGCCCUGGACGCCAGGCCGCAGGCCAUAGUUCCCGUGCACUUGUCCGCAGCCAGAAAAACUCCCCGUGGGCUCUGGAAGUGCCCAGCUCGCGCCGGAGCGUGGCGAGGCUUGACUAACGCCCAGCCAUGGUGGCUGUAGGCUGAGCAGACCCCUCUGCUCCAGCCAUGGCGCGGACCUCCUCUGGUCCGAGCUCGAGCAGUGAACUCUCCGUGGCGCCUUCCCCUGCAAUUUUUCCCCUUCCUCCCCUCUACUUCUGUGGCGCUCAGCACUCCUGCCACAGGACGCCGAGCACCCUCCCCACAGAUCGCUUUUUCCAGCUGCGCCGGACACUCUGUGAUUUGGCCGCGUCGCGUCCAGGACUUCCAUGGCUGCCUCCCUGGCGUACCUCGCGCAGCAGCCGCGACGCCAGUUCGCGCAGCCACGUGAAUCUCCUUUGCGUCACGCCCUCGGCGUGCUCGACAUAAUGCCGCAGCAAGCCUGCAGCAGCAGCCCCGGAUCCCCUCCGCAUCGAGAGCAGCCGCGUCGUCGAUCCGUGCAACCCCGACGUCUCCGUGUCUUGCUUCGCCGUCAAUCUGCGCAGUCCCCGUCGCGAUGCCGUCGAAACCCGCGCCCCUUGUCAUUGUCGCGCUUCGCGCGUCGUUUCUCGACAGAAAGCCAAACCAACAUGCACGCAUGCACAACACCAAUCGGAUUUCGGCCAGGUUGUUCGAUUUAGAAAAAUUGUGUUUUUUGUUUUAUUUACGAUUCAAUCGAUGGCGUGAAUAUGUGUGUGAAAAUAUAAUUGUAUGAAUGAACGCGUGUAGAGAAGAAACUGAAGUAGAAAAGAACUCGGACAUUUUUAUAUUUUGAUAGGAAAAUUAUGCGAUGCGUUGUUUGAUGUGAAAAACUAAGUUACAAAAUGUGGAUUAUGUUUUGGGAAAUGCAUCGAUAUGUGUUUAUGUG